rnacentral:rRNA from 1 species
UAAUGGGUGAUGGCGUGCCUUUUGUAGAAUGAACCGGCGAGUUACGAUUUGAUGCAAGGUUAAGCAGUAAAUGUGGAGCCGUAGCGAAAGCGAGUCUGAAUAGGGCGUUUAGUAUUUGGUCGUAGACCCGAAACCAGGUGAUCUACCCUUGGUCAGGUUGAAGUUCAGGUAACACUGAAUGGAGGACCGAACCGACUUACGUUGAAAAGUGAGCGGAUGAACUGAGGGUAGCGGAGAAAUUCCAAUCGAACCUGGAGAUAGCUGGUUCUCUCCGAAAUAGCUUUAGGGCUAGCCUCAAGUGAUGAUUAUUGGAGGUAGAGCACUGUUUGGACGAGGGGCCCCUCUCGGGUUACCGAAUUCAGACAAACUCCGAAUGCCAAUUAAUUUAACUUGGGAGUCAGAACAUGGGUGAUAAGGUCCGUGUUCGAAAGGGAAACAGCCCAGACCACCAGCUAAGGUCCCAAAAUAUAUGUUAAGUGGAAAAGGAUGUGGCGUUGCCCAGACAACUAGGAUGUUGGCUUAGAAGCAGCCAUCAUUUAAAGAGUGCGUAAUAGCUCACUAGUCGAGUGACACUGCGCCGAAAAUGUACCGGGGCUAAACAUAUUACCGAAGCUGUGGAUUGUCCUUUGGACAAUGGUAGGAGAGCGUUCUAAGGGCGUUGAAGCAUGAUCGUAAGGACAUGUGGAGCGCUUAGAAGUGAGAAUGCCGGUGUGAGUAGCGAAAGACGGGUGAGAAUCCCGUCCACCGAUUGACUAAGGUUUCCAGAG